UAUUUUAGGCUAGUUUAAAUUCAUCUUUUAAAUCCUUGCAAGACCAUAGCAUGUAUUUAGGACUCGAUGUAAAGGACUAUGGACACUAUAAGUGAUGUACACCGACACAAGCACCGACACAUGCACACACCCCACAUGGAUAUUCUAGAUGCAUGAUUAGGGAAUGUAUGUUUAGAUGUAUGCUUAGGUUUUACAACGCUUAGACAAAAAUCAUUUUCCCAAAAAAAGUGUGAAUAACCUCACUUGAAAACCUUUUUUCCAAAAUAGGAGUCAAAACUCCUCAUUUUCCUUUUAUUUUCUUAAGUAAAAAUCUUAAUGAAUUUUAAUCAUACUUAGACUUUAUUUUGCAAAAUAACUAAUUCCACCUCACAUUUUCCAAAUCUCAUGCCCUUGAGGCCUCUCAUCUCCAUUCUUCAAAAUUCCUCUUUUUCUUUUCAAACUUAAAAUCAACCAAUAAAAACAAAAAAACAAUUUUUGAGAAUGAACUACGUUUGGUUUUGAUCCCUUAAAAGGGUACGUAGGCAAUGAGUUAAAACUCCUCCAAGCCAA
rnacentral:lncRNA from 1 species